rnacentral:snoRNA from 1 species
AUGCAUCUAUCUGUCAGACCUGGAGUAGCUAAUGUCUACUUCUAAAGUUUCUACUACACAGUUGCAAAAAAUAAGCUUCUCAUGCUUUCUAGAUUGUGACAGCCAAGACUGAAUGGGGGGAAUACAAGA